CCAGAAUGCCGCUCGCGCUAGGCCCCGCCCCCCUGACGCACAGUCGGGCCAGCUGCAGGGAUGGUACAAGCAGGAUUGCAUUUCCUGACUUCCUUGUAGUUGGGAUGAGUCACAUGACACAUUCUGCCAUGAAUUGUGAGCAUAGCAUUUAAUUGCUGAUGCAAGACCUUCCAGAACUCUUUUUGCUCUUUGCCAUGGCAAUCAACAAUGUUCCAGAGAGUAUAUGCUCUGUAUCACCUUUAUUCUACAUAUGGACAUAGGUAGGAGGAGACUGCAGUGGGGUCUGUAUCACUCCUGCUCAAGUGAACACAUCUGGGCCCAAAGUUGUCUUCCAGGAUCAGAUGGAGAAGCUGGAGUAUCCCUUCUGAGGAAUUCCUACUAAGGAAUCUCUACCUCAGCAUGC